rnacentral:lncRNA from 1 species
AAAAAAGGAAAGGGUGUAGAAAGGAGAUGACCCAGGUGCAAAUAUCAAGUUAACUUGGGCCCAAACCAAAUGAAUAAAACCCUAAACACUAUUAAUAAGAAAAGAAUAAUUGAUAAUAAUUAAUAAAUCAAAUGAAAUAAUAAUAAAAAAGAAAACUAUCAAUAAGAGGGAGGGAGGCAGCGCUCUGUGCUAUGCAGGAAACUUGACCAAUUUUUAAAAUUU